rnacentral:lncRNA from 1 species
GGGCAGGGUGCUGGGGUGCUGGCGGGCCACCUGCGCAGGGCGUGGCCCGGUCACCCAGGUGCUGCCUGGCCUGCCUGAGGUGGCGCAGAAGCGCAAAAGCUGGGUGCGCGGCUGGUGUCCCGGGGGCCCUUCCCUCCAGCUCCGGGCUCCUGUCCCCCACACACCUGUAGAUCACUGAUCUCCCAGAACACGGCCCCCAGAGACCAGCCAUGUCCAAGACGACCGUGUCGGCAGCACGCCGCUACCUGCCCCGCGGCUUCCUGCCCGGCGGGCUUGGGGCACCCCGGCAGCCUGCGUGGCGAGACCCUGUCUGGCUGGUGAGGACAGAGGACAUCUUCCACUUGGGUCACGAGGCGAGAGACCAACACGUUUCUGGGAGAAGCUCUGCCAAGGGGCUGCCUUGGCUGUGCCCCGCCUGGGACCCCUGCCGCUCCCUGGGCCCUGGCUCCUGGCGACAGCCCCCCUCCGGCACUUUCCUGGCAAGGGUGCCACAAACAGAGCUGGCACAGGGAAGUGACGUGCCUUCUCCUGCCCCUCCAACACCCUCAUGCACGCCAGCGAAGGCGGGGUGGGGUGUCUGUGCACACGUGUGUGUGUGUGUGUGUGUGUGUGUGUGUGUGUGUGCACGCAUAGCCAGGCCAGCCUGCAUCCUCUGUACACACUCAACCCCAGAAGAACAAACUCGGAAGACACCCACACGGGCUCUACCUGCCAUCCUGGGAGGGGUGCUUGCACCCCCACCCCACACCACCCCAACUCCCCACCAGACAGAGAGUGCGCGUCACUGUCCACUUUACAGAUGGACAAAGAGAGGCUCUGGGAAGCUGAGAGCUGCCCUCUGGGUCCAGAUGGAGCCAGUCUCGGCUCCGAAUGCAGAGCACAGCUUGUCCCUCUGUCUGGAUGGGCUGUCAAGGCCGGCAGGACAGGUCCCAGUGCCACAGGGCAACUCAGGGGCCACACUCCAUCAGAGCAACAGUGAGUGCCAAGGUCAGGGUAGCCACCCAUUGGAGGGAUGGCCCGGCGCCUGCCUCAUCCGCUCUCCCCAGACACACAGCCUCCCGCCUCCCCAGGGCCCCCAUCCAACUGCCCACACGCCCACCUCUGCACAGGGUGAGCAGGCACCAGCUCCAGGGCCAGCAGCCCACAUCCAACGUGGCGCCACGUCCAGGCACCGCCAGGGGAAGGUGGCAGGUCCUCCAAGGAGCACAGCCUACUCACGGCCCCGGGCAGAGGGCCCCGCUCCCACCACAAGAGGGACAGGGCAGAGGGAGGGUAGGAGGGACCACACUCCCGAGCCAGGAAGUCCGGCUUCUCAGAGCAGCUUUACACGACUCCCGCCUCUGCCCCCUAAAAUGACUGGGACGUCCGUCCCGGGACCACUCUCAAAGGAAGAAAACCAACUCCGGGAGUCCAGGCUGGGGGGGCUUCCGGGACGGAUGAUCCUGAGCUGGAUGGAGCUCUCCCGGUUGGAGCCACAGAGACGACAGUGGGCUCACACUUGAGAAAGUGGCCGCAAGAGCUUCCGGAACGAAAUGGCCUGAGAGGUGAGACUGGGAGAAUGAAGGCCGGCAGGGGCUGCAGGAAAGGCAGAGCUCAGCACGGCAGUCAGCUCCCCUCCCCAUGUCCCCCAGGGGGCCCCCGCCCCCAGGCGUGCCCUUCUCAGCCCCACAGCCUUCAGGGGACAGAGGGUCAGGACCCUGGCAGGGCCUGGGGAGGCCAGGCUGGCCUGAGGGCACGCACAGCAAAACCAAAUACCAGGAGCCAAGGCACCCAUGCUGCUCCAGGAGCCCCUGCCCCCGAGUGGGGUGGGCAGCAAGGGUACUAUUGGCUCUUCUGGGAGCCAGGAGACCUGGAGGGCAGCCAGUGGGGGUUCCAGCUGGUGGGAAGGGCCAAGAAGCCGUCCAGGUUCAAAUAAAGUGACAACUCAUGUCUUUGGCACAGCGCCCAGAGUGACACCCGAGCACAGUGGCCUCCAGGAGGAGGGACUCGGGGGGGGGGGGGGCCCCUUGCCAUCACCCCUGCGGGCUCUGAGCCACAGGCUGGGUGACACCAGCAGCAGGUCCAAAUUCUGGCCAACGCUCCCAGCCCUGGUCCAUGAGUGGGGGCCUCCUGGGACCGCAAGGCUCGGACACAAACCACGCACAGUGGGGAAGGAGCAGCCAAGCUCCCAGGACCCCCCAUGCCUCCGAUUCCUUGGGCACUGGGCGCCCGCCUCCCACCCCAGCUCUACCCCGGGACCCGAGUCUUCUAGCGCCCCGAGCCCCACUGACCUCUCCCGAGUGGGUCUGGGGGCAGGCAGCCCCAAGUGGGUUCAGGCUGGGGCAAGGUCUAUC